AAUAUUGGACAAUGGGGGCAACCCUGAUCCAGCCAUGCCGCGUGUGUGAAGAAGGUCUUCGGAUUGUAAAGCACUUUAAGUUGGGAGGAAGAGUUGUAGGCUAAUACCUUGCAAUUUUGACGUUACCAACAGAAUAAGCACCGGCUAACUUCGUGCCAGCAGCCGCGGUAAUACGUAGGGGGCAAGCGUUGUCCGGAAUUAUUGGGCGUAAAGGGUGCGUAGGCGGCCUUUUAAGUCAGAUGUGAAAGCCCACGGCUUAACCGUGGGGUUGCAGUUGAAACUGGAAGGCUUGAGUAUCGGAGAGGGUAGUGGAAUUCCCAGUGUAGCGGUGAAAUGCGUAGAUAUUGGGAGGAACACCAGUGGCGAAGGCGACUACCUGGACGAAAACUGACGCUGAUGCACGAAAGCUAGGGGAGCAAACA
rnacentral:rRNA from 1 species